CAUCAGGAACAACAGCGAUGAGACUCACCGUCCUCUCUCUAGUGUUGAUAACAUUUCUUGUUGAUCUGAGCGAUGGAGAUUCUGUCACUCAGCGGGUUCCUUACCUCACACAGACGGAGGGAGAAGAUGUCACCUUUAACUGCACUUACACUGGAAGCCCUAAUUACGUGUUCUGGUACCGUCAAUAUCCAGGCAGGCAGCCCGAGUUCGCAGUCUGGAGGUACACGAAUGCUGAGGCUGAAAAGAAGGCGGAUUUCGCUCAGACCCGGUUUUCUAUUGCCUUCCAGCGUACAGACAAGUUUUACCAAUUGACAAUUUCGGACAUCCUUCUGGCUGACGCCGCAGUAUAUUACUGUGCAACGAGUCUCACAGUGACGCGAACCAGCUGA